rnacentral:rRNA from 1 species
UCUGGAGACAGGUGCUGCAUGGCUGUCGUCAGCUCGUGUCGUGAGAUGUUGGGUUAAGUCCCGCAACGAGCGCAACCCUUGCCUUUAGUUGCCAGCAGUUCGGCUGGGCACUCUAAAGGGACUGCCGGUGUUAAACCGGAGGAAGGUGGGGAUGACGUCAAGUCCUCAUGGCCUUUAUGACCAGGGCUACACACGUACUACAAUGGCCGAUACAAAGGGCAGCGACACUGCGAGGUGAAGCCAAUCCCGUAAAAUCGGUCUCAGUCCGGAUUGGAGUCUGCAACUCGACUCCAUGAGGUUGGAAUCGCUAGUAAUCGUGGAUCAGCAUGCCACGGUGAAUACGUUCCCGGGCCUU